rnacentral:rRNA from 1 species
GCAUAUCAAUAAGCGGAGGAAAAGAAACCAACAGGGAUUGCCCUAGUAACGGCGAGUGAAGCGGCAACAGCUCAAAUUUGAAAUCUGGCGUCUUUGGCGUCCGAGUUGUAAUUUGCAGAGGGCGCUUUGGCAUCGGCAGCGGUCCAAGUUCCUUGGAACAGGACGUCACAGAGGGUGAGAAUCCCGUACGUGAUCGCUAGCCUUUACCGUGUAAAGCCCCUUCGACGAGUCGAGUUGUUUGGGAAUGCAGCUCUAAAUGGGAGGUAAAUUUCUUCUAAAGCUAAAUACUGGCCAGAGACCGAUAGCGCACAAGUAGAGUGAUCGAAAGAUGAAAAGCACUUUGGAAAGAGAGUUAAAAAGCACGUGAAAUUGUUGAAAGGGAAGCGCUUGCAGCCAGACUUGCCUGUAGUUGCUCAUCCGGGUUUCUACCCGGUGCACUCUUCUAUAGGCAGGCCAGCAUCAGUUUGGGCGGUUGGAUAAAGGUCUCUGUCAUGUACCUCUCUUCGGGGAGAACUUAUAGGGGAGACGACAUGCAACCAGCCCGGACUGAGGUCCGCGCAUCUGCUAGGAUGCUGGCGUAAUGGCUGUAAGCGGCCCGUCUUGAAACACGGACCAAGGAGUCUAACAUCUAUGCGAGUGUUUGGGUGUCAAGCCCGAACGCGUAAUGAAAGUGAACGGAGGUGGGAACCUUUCGGGGUGCACCAUCGACCGAUCCUGAUGUCUUCGGAUGGAUUUGAGUAAGAGCAUAGCUGUUGGGACCCGAAAGAUGGUGAACUAUGCUUGAAUAGGGUGAAGCCAGAGGAAACUCUGGUGGAGGCUCGCAGCGGUUCUGACGUGCAAAUCGAUCGUCAAAUUUGGGCAUAGGGGCGAAAGACUAAUCGAACUAUCUAGUAGCUGGUUCCUGCCGA